UCGCUAAGUCCAAGCUUGAAUCAAAUAUUCACAAAUGCAUAAUUUGAGCUAUUUUAAACAUACGAGACAAGUUUCCAAUUCGCUACCAUGAACACUUCUCACAUGCAUGUAUAAUACCCAGAAUGCUCUACUAUAUAGAGUGAAAUUUAUCUUACACAUAACACAUGCAUUUUAAAUGUUCUAAAAUUCACAUAAAUCUCAUUUAGCAUGAAUAUGCAAUCAAAUUGACGUUA
rnacentral:lncRNA from 1 species